UAUUUUCUGCCUCAGUUAAAUUUUUUUUCUAGAUCCAGAAAUUACAGCCAGGGAUCACCAUAAAGCUACCUUAAGCAAUAUUCUUAGAUCUUUGGCUAAACAGAGGUCGAAAACAAGACAGCUAUACUUCUAAGGACCAGUAACAUCAUGGGGUGAUGUCUUAACUUGUGUAUGAGUUAGAUUUAAGAAAGAAGAUUAUACGAGGACAUCAGUCAUACUCUCUUUUCCAGAGUUAUCCAAGUCUAGGGAGAGAAUGUUCUUCAUACAUAUUUGAUGAGGCAGCAUGGUUUAGAAAAUAAUGUUGAGCUUGGAUUCAGAAAGACCUGAAUUUGGAUCUCACCUUGAACAAUUAUUAGCACUAUAAAUUUGGGUAAGUCAUUUCAUUUAGCUUCUGUCAACCUUAGCAUUUUCAUCUUUGAAAUGAGUAUAAUAAGAGUAUAAUGUAAGUAUACUAAAGAUAGUAUAAUGAUAGUGAUUUCAUAU